AUUUGAAAAUAUAUUUCAAAUAUCAAAACAACAAAAGUUAAGCAAAAUGCCUUGCAAAGGAUGUGGUAAUGACUGCAAAUGCACUCCCGAGAAAUGCGGCGACAAGUGUGACUGCCCCAAGCCAUGCAAGUGCAUGUGCAAAGAUUCGGAACAUGCCAAACAUGGU